UACGUAGGGACCAAGCGUUGUUCGGAUUUACUGGGCGUAAAGGGCGCGUAGGCGGCGUGUUAAGUCACUUGUGAAAUCUCUAAGCUUAACUUAGAACGGUCAAGUGAUAUUGAUGUGCUAGAGUGCAGAAGGGGCAACCGGAAUUCUUGGUGUAGCGGUGAAAUGCGUAGAUAUCAAGAGGAACACCUGAGGUGAAGACGGGUUGCUGGGCUGACACUGACGCUGAGGCGCGAAAGCUAGGGUAGCAAACGGG
rnacentral:rRNA from 1 species